rnacentral:rRNA from 1 species
GCGGCUUAAUUUGACUCAACACGGGGAAACUCACCCGGUCCGGACACUGGAAGGAUUGACAGAUUAAAAGCUCUUUCUUGAUUCAGUGGGUGGUGGUGCAUGGCCGUUCUUAGUUGGUGGAGUGAUUUGUCUGGUUAAUUCCGAUAACGAACGAGACUCUAGCCUGCUAACUAGUUCGCCGGCAGCUCUUGUCGCGCGGCGCCGCUUCGGCGGCAAACUUCUUAGAGGGACAGGUGGCGUUUAGCCACACGAAGUAGAGCAAUAACAGGUCUGUGAUGCCCUUAGAUGUCCGGGGCCGCACGCGCGCUACACUGAAAGAAUCAACGUGGAUGCCCACCUGCUCCGAGAGGAGUGGGAAACCCGAUGAAUCUCUUUCGUGAUGGGGAUUGGGGCUUGUAAUUGUUCCCCAUGAACGAGGAAUUCCCAGUAAGCGUCAGUCAUCAGCUGGCGCUGAUUACGUCCCUGCCCUUUGUACACACCGCCCGUCGCUACUACCGAUUGAAUGGUUUAGUGAGACCCUCGGACUGGAGUCCGUCCGCCGCUUUCGGGUGGUGGAUGGGGACGGAAAGACGGUCGAACUUGAUCAUUUAGAGGAAGUAA